GCAGCUGGCGGCGUGCCUAAUACAUGCAGUCGAGCGAAUCUGAGGGAGCUUGCUCCCAAAGAUUAGCGGCGGACGGGUGAGUAACACGUGCGGUAACCUGCCUGUAAGAUUGGGAUAACUCCGGGAAACCGGAGCUAAUACCGGAUAACAUAUNGAACCGCAUGGUUCNAUAUUGAAAGAUGGUUUCGGCUAUCACUUACAGAUGGACCCGCGGCGCAUUAGCUAGUUGGUGAGGUAACGGCUCACCAAGGCGACGAUGCGUAGCCGACCUGAGAGGGUGAUCGGCCACACUGGGACUGAGACACGGCCCAGACUCCUACGGGAGGCAGCAGUAGGGAAUCUUCCGCAAUGGACGAAAGUCUGACGGAGCAACGCCGCGUGAGCGAAGAAGGCCUUCGGGUCGUAAAGCUCUGUUGUUAGGGAAGAACAAGUACGAGAGUAACUGCUCGUACCUUGACGGUACCUAACCAGAAAGCCACGGCUAACUACGUGCCAGCAGCCGCGGUAAUACGUAGGUGGCAAGCGUUGUCCGGAAUUAUUGGGCGUAAAGCGCGCGCAGGCGGUUUCUUAAGUCUGAUGUGAAAGCCCACGGCUCAACCGUGGAGGGUCAUUGGNAAACUGGGGAACUUGAGUGCAGAAGAGGAGAGUGGAAUUCCACGUGUAGCGGUGAAAUGCGUAGAGAUGUGGAGGAACACCAGUGGCGAAGGCGACUCUCUGGUCUGUAACUGACGCUGAGGCGCGAAAGCGUGGGGAGCGAACAGGAUUAGAUACCCUGGUAGUCCACGCCGUAAACGAUGAGUGGCUAAGUGUUAGAGGGUUU
rnacentral:rRNA from 2 species